rnacentral:rRNA from 1 species
AACUUUCAACAACGGAUCUCUUGGCUCUGGCAUCGAUGAAGAACGCAGCGAAAUGCGACAAGUAAUGUGAAUUGCAGAAUUCAGUGAAUCAUCGAAUCUUUGAACGCACAUUGCGCCCGCCAGCAUUCUGGCGGGCAUGCCUGUUCGAGCGUCAUU